AGCGAACGCUAGCGGCGGGCCUAACACAUGCAAGUCGAGCGGGGGAGCAAUCCCCAGCGGCGGACGGGUGAGUAACACGUAGGUUAUGUGCCCUUUGGUGGGGAAUAACCGUGGGAAACCAUGGCUAAUUCCGCAUAUCGAGCGAAAUCUUGAAAGCCUUCGGGCGCCAAAGGAGCAACCUGCGGCCCAUUAGCUUGUUGGUAGGGUAACGGCCUACCAAGGCGAUGAUGGGUAGCUGGUCUGAGAGGAUGAUCAGCCACACUGGAACUGAGACACGGUCCAGACUCCUACGGGAGGCAGCAGUAAGGAAUAUUGGGCAAUGGAGGCAACUCUGACCCAGCCAUGCCGCGUGAAGGAUGACGGCCCUAUGGGUUGUAAACUUCUUUAUACGGGAAUAAACCCGGGUACGUGUACCCGGCUGAAUGUACCGUAAGAAUAAGGAAUCGGCUAACUCCGUGCCAGCAGCCGCGGUAAU
rnacentral:rRNA from 1 species